CUUGGCGGAGUUUUGUAAAGUAUUUUUUUAUACCGAAAGGCUCUGAUCUUGAGUUUAAUUGUUUGGCAUUGUUUUAAACUUGGGUAAAGUUUUUUAAAUUAAAUUCAUGGAGUGAUAAGUAAGUCGUAGAUCUUUAUAACUGUUUAGUUGUUGGUUAUUUAUAGUAAUGUAUGUGGCUAGAAGGUCAUUUAUGUUUUUAUACAUUUAGUAUUUUUGUGUUGUUUAAUAAGGUUAGGGGUACCUAGUUUUUGUUAUAUUGUUAUAAAUAUGGUUUUGUUUAUUUUGGUGAUUUGUUAAUUGUUUAAACAACUUUUUGUGAUAUUUGGCUGUUAUAUUAUCGUUGAAUGAGUAAUUUUAUUAUGCUAUUUAUUUCUUGAGUUCUUUCCGUCUGUUUAUUAAAAACAUUUCCAACUUGAAUUAUAGCUGGUAGUGCCUGCCCAAUGUUAGUUAAUUAAUGGCCGCAGUAUAUUGACUGUGCAAAGGUAGCAUAAUUAAUUGCCUUUUAAUUGGGGGCUUGUUUGAAUGGUUUGACGUGAUUGGUAUGAAUAUUUGGUAUUUUAUUGAAAUUGAUUUUAAGGGUUCAGAAUCCUUUAGUUUUAGUAAGACGGAAAGACCCUAGGAUCUUUUGUUUUUGUUUGGGGCAAUUUUUGGUGUUUUAUAAAUAUUAUGACCCU
rnacentral:rRNA from 1 species